GGAAGAGAGCAUUAAUCCAUGCUGAUGAUAUGGUGCUUUCUCUAAUGCCAGACCUGUCAAGACAUCUGACAAGUGUGAUAAGUUGGGCAGUAUCUUCCCCGAGUGCCUCCUAAGAAGCAGAGCUUUGGAAAGGAAAUGAGAAGAAGAAGACAAGGCUACUGGAUCUUGCAGCCAAACUGGAAGAUAGUGGAGCACAAAGUGACUUCCUGAAAAACCCCACAGAGCGUUAGCAGAGGCUCCGGGAGAAGAACCGGGAACCCUGCUUCGUCCCUUGCGAUGUGAGGCAGCAGACCCUGCUCUCCUUUGCCAGGAACAGCAAUCCGACAGCAUUCCCUCUGCCAGAUACUAGCUUCCCUGCCGAGUCAGGCAGGGUUGGAAAAGCAGAUGUCAGCCAAGUGGAGCUCGAUUUGAGUCAUAUCCUGGUAAAUGUGUGUCAGAAGCAGGUGAAAGAUGUUAAAUUUCACAGAAACUGUAUACCAGAUGAAAGGUGAAGAGUAUAGCAGUCCUCAGCUUUAAUCCUGUGCCCAAACCCAUGGUCCGUUUGCAGCGAGAAACACCCCACGAAUUUGGGGAACAGAACCAGAGCAGUCCCAGGGCCUAGAAAUGAGGACUCGGAGCUGGGGUUCAGCAAGAACGUGGAUACUGGGGCCCAGCUUCCACCAGUCAUGGGACUUUGAGGCCCAGAAGAGGCAAUAAUUGCACAACAAUUCUAGUGUCUUCAGUGAACUUCAGCCCCAGCCUGGGGCCUUGUGUUGUGUGGUAUUAUCAGAUGGCGCUUCGCUGCUGGAGUGGAUGUUCUUGGCAAUGAAAAGAUGAGG